UGCCGGUGAUGAAGAAAUUGGUAUUAUUGUAAUUUAUGACAACUAGUGAUUACAUAUACCUCUACUGCCUUCCUUCUGAGGUU